rnacentral:rRNA from 1 species
GGUUACUAAAAAUAACAAUUUAAAACCUAAAGAACUUGGCGGUGUCUUAUCAUACCAGGGGAACCUGUUCCUUAAUUCGAUAAUCCACGAAACCACUACCACUAAUUGAAUAAUCAGCUUGUAUACUGCCGUCAUCAGCAUACCUUAAAAAGAUAUAGUAUGCAAUAAUAACAAAAAUUAAUUAUGUCAGGUCAUAGUACAGCCUAUUUAGUGGAGGAAAUGGGUUACAAUCAUUUAUCUAGAUACCAAAAAUAAAACUAAAGUUUUAUCAAAAGGUGGACUUGGCAGUAAUGAUAGUAUAGAAUACAGUCAUGAAUAAAGAUCUAAGACAUGCACACAUCGCCCGUCACUC